CAGGACGAACGCUGGCGGCGUGCUUAACACAUGCAAGUGGAGCGACGAACCGGGGCUUGCCCCGGGCAGAGCCGCGAACGGGUGAGUAACACGUGGGUAACCUGCCUCAAUGAUUGGGACAACCCGGGGAAACUCGGGCUAAUACCAAAUGUGUUCACUCCUUCUAAGGGGAGUGAGGAAAGGAAGCUUCGGCCUCCGCAUUGAGAUGGGCCCGCGGCCCAUUAGCUUGUUGGUGAGGUAACGGCUCACCAAGGCUUCGAUGGGUAGCUGGUCUGAGAGGACGAUCAGCCACACUGGGACUGAGACACGGCCCAGACUCCUACGGGAGGCAGCAGUGGGGAAUCUUGCACAAUGCGCGAAAGCGUGAUGCAGCAACGCCGCGUGGGGGAAGACGGCCUUCGGGUUGUAAACCCCUUUCAGUUGGGACGAAGCUUCGUCGGUGAAUAGCCGGUUGGAGUGACGGUACCUUCAGAAGAAGCCCCGGCUAACUACGUG
rnacentral:rRNA from 1 species